rnacentral:rRNA from 1 species
AUUGAACGCUGGCGGCAUGCUUUACACAUGCAAGUCGAACGGUAACAGGGUGCUUGCACCGCUGACGAGUGGCGAACGGGUGAGUAACGCGUCGGAACGUGCCGAGUAGCGGGGGAUAACGCAGCGAAAGUUGUGCUAAUACCGCAUACGUACUGAGGUAGAAAGUGGGGGACCUUCGGGCCUCACGCUAUUCGCGUCGCCGACGUCUGAUUAGCUAGUAGGUGAGGUAAGGGCUCACCUAGCCGACGAGCAGUAGCGGGUCUGAGAGGAUGAUCCGCCACACUGGGACUGAGACACGGCCCAGACUCCUACGGGAGGCAGCAGUGGGGAAUUUUGGACAAUGGGCGAAAGCCUGAUCCAGCCAUGCCGCGUGUCUGAAGAAGGCCUUCGGGUUGUAAAGGACUUCUGUCAGGGAGGAAGUCCCUAGUGCUAAUAACACUGGGGGAUGACAGUACCUGAAGAAUAAGCACCGGCUAACUACGUGCCAGCAGCCGCCGCCG